rnacentral:rRNA from 1 species
GACGAACGCUGGCGGCGUGCUUAACACAUGCAAGUCGAACGAUGAAGUUAUGACGGAGGCUUCGGCCGACAGAAUAAUGGAAUAGUGGCGGACGGGUGAGUAACGCGUGAGUAACCUGCCUUUCAGAGAGGAAUAACAUUUGGAAACGAAUGGUAAUACCACAUAACAUUACGUUCUCGCAUGGGGAUGUAAUCAAAGAUUUUAUCGCUGAGAGAUGGACUCGCGUCCGAUUAGCUGGAUGGUGAGGUAACGGCCCACCAUGGCGACGAUCGGUAGCCGGACUGAGAGGUUGAACGGCCACAUUGGGACUGAGACACGGCCCAGACUCCUACGGGAGGCAGCAGUGGGGAAUAUUGCACAAUGGGGGAAACCCUGAUGCAGCAACGCCGCGUGAAGGAAGACGGUCUUCGGAUUGAAACUUUGUUCUUGGUGAGAAAAUGACGUAGCCAAGGAGGAAGCCUAACGGGCUAACUACGUGCC